rnacentral:rRNA from 1 species
GUAGGGAAUAUUGCGCAAUGGGGGAAACCCUGAUGCAGCGACGCCGCGUGAGUGAUGAAGGCCUUCGGGUCGUAAAGCUCUGUCGUAUGGGACUAACACAAUGAAGGUACCAUGCAAGAAAGGAUCGGCUAACUUCGUGCCAGCAGCCGCGGUAAGACGAGGGAUCCUAGCGUUGUUCGGAAUCAUUGGGCGUAAAGCGGGUGUAGGCGGAUUUAUAAGUCAGGUGUGAAAUCCCAGGGCUCAACCCUGGAAGUGCACUUGAUACUGUAAAUCUUGAGUGUGGUAGAGGUUACUGGAAUUGUUGGUGUAGUGGUGAAAUACGUAGAUAUCAACAGGAAUACCGGAGGCGAAGGCGAGUAACUGGGCCAACACUGACGCUGAGACCCGAAAGCGUGGGGAUCAAACAGGAUUAGAAACCCUGGUAGUCC